rnacentral:rRNA from 1 species
AGUAAUGCUUGGGAAUCUAGCUUAUGAGGGGGAGUAACUACGGGAAACUGUAGCUAAUACCGCGUAGAAUCGAGAGAUGAAAGUGUGGGACCUUCGGGCCACAUGCCAUAGGAUGAGCCCAAGUGGGAUUAGGUAGUUGGUGAGGUAAAGGCUCACCAAGCCGACGAUCUCUAGCUGGUCUGAGAGGAUGACCAGCCACACUGGGACUGAGACACGGCCCAG